CAGAAUAACUGGAAGCUCCCCCCAGGCUAAGCGGGGCCUCCCACAAAGUGCAGAAGAUGAUGGAGGAAGGGAUGGGGUACAGAAGCAGAAGUCAUGUCUGCCCGACGGUGCUGACGUAAGGUGGUCACUCUUGGGAUGUCCAUCCCCUUUAGUUAAAUGGAAUGGGACAACACGCCCAAGACCUACCCUGAACAUUCCCAGGACUCUGAGUUGCUUUAAAAUAUGCUUUUGU
rnacentral:lncRNA from 1 species